ACAUGUGAGCAUUGAGACUGAGCAUUACCAACGAUGUAUCCAUAAAGCUUUGAUUGACUGUAGGCCUCCAACUCAAGGAAAGAAAACAAGUGUUAUUCUGUGCCCCUUGAUGUAUAAAAAAUAUCACAAGACCAACACGUUUUUAUUGUUUAUUCAUUAUUUGUGCAACCUAUAAGGUUCUGUGUGGUAACUCAUGUAACAGAAUAUACAUGUAUAUUUUAUCUCACAAGAAAUGUGUCUAGUCAUUUGGGUUCAGUUAUUUUUGCAAAAUAUCCUCUAUUGAACCCCAUACUUACCUGUCAUUCAACCUUCAAUCUACACAGUGCAAACCAUGCCUACACCAAGAACUGCCUUUAUUGUUUGUUUGUUUUUAAAAGUAUCAUGUAACCUCUGACAGACACUAAAAUAUUAACUAUAAAGGUUUUAUGUAAUAUUUGUAUUAAUCACCAUUCAUGUUUUUUGUUUCUCUUAUGUCAGAGUAAAAUGUCUGUGAGACCUGACUCCUCGUUUUGAAUCCGCAGCGACGCAGUAUAGCGACGCCCAGUUUUGUUGGCUGGUGCAAUUCACAAUACACAAUUACUUUCCUGUACAACGAGCAGCGUGUAGAGACAGGGAGCAGGCGCGCUAGUACCCUGCCUGAAGGGGUGUGUAUGUAUGACACUUCCGCGCAUCAGCGAUUAGACAUCAAAUAUUAACCUGCGGCACAGCGUGGAGCAUCGCCCACCCGGACUCUACGCGCGGUUACCUUGCCGCGUCUCGGCUCAUCUCCGGAAUCUAACGGGACAUUCAACCGCACCCCUCUAGAAUUGACAGCGAUUACAGUCCCUUUAAUAGUGUCCAUUCUCGUGCCGAUCGUUAACACCCGUUUGAAUAGCCUCCGACGCGGAGUUCACAAAGUGAUGGGACAAGUCUUCUGCGACCACGGGCAAUGACACUGACCUACACAGAGAGAUAGGGAUGGAUGCAAAAGUGUGGGAAAUGUUCGCUUUGAUUGUCGUGUGCUGCAGCUUCUGUCUCCCGGCACUUGCAGAGGUGAUUGGUGAUGACAGCUACCUGAAUGCCGUGCAGAGCACAGGUAAGCUCUUGUGUGUUCUGAACUUCAUACUUCUUUAUACAAAAGAAAUUCUCUCAGAACCACUUCUGCCAAAAAAAAAAAGCCCCUUCCUUGGAAUAAUAGCUUUUAAUAGGUUAUCUUUGUUGCAAAGGGUUACCAAGAGACCUGGAGUUUAUUUUGUUAGCAAUACACAGGAAGAGAUGUUGAAUUCCUUGUGCUAUUUGUUUGGGGACUUCCCACAGCGGUCAACCCUCUCACUGUCACAUGCAAGUACUCAUAGCCAACAACCUAAUGGAACCAAAGUAACAACUGGAAAAUACGUACCCCUGUAGCCUAAGACUAAGUAGUACGGUUUUACAAGAACAUUUGAUCAGUGUAACUUGCAAAGGGACUUUGAAGAGGCAAUCCAAAGAUCCUUUC
rnacentral:lncRNA from 1 species